CACGUAGGGCGCGAGCGUUGUCCGGAAUUAUUGGGCGUAAAGAGCUCGUAGGCGGCCUGUUGCGUCCGCUGUGAAAGCCCGGGGCUUAACCCCGGGUCGGCAGUGGAUACGGGCAGGCUAGAGGUAGGUAGGGGAGAAUGGAAUUCCCGGUGUAGCGGUGAAAUGCGCAGAUAUCGGGAGGAACACCAAUGGCGAAGGCAGCUCGCUGGGACGGUACUGACGCUGAGACGCGAAAGCGUGGGGAGCAAACAGGG
rnacentral:rRNA from 1 species